CCUGUGUAACAGCACAACAGCACAACUUGCUCAAGCAGAUCAACCAUCACUAAACAUGGGAAAGGUAAGAUGGCCUGAAUAUUUUAAACAUUUCUAACAAAAUAAAUAUUGGAAACAGAUUAUUAAAAUAAAAUAGUUGCUAUUUCAAAGAAAAGCUUUUUAAACAGGCUGAUAAUAGAUUUAAUAUUUUCAGGGAUUUUUAUACGUUUUUGUAAUGUAACUCAUUUUUAUCUGAUACAUUUAAUAGGGAUUGCAGUGUGAAAUGAUAAAGUAUUAGCAACUAAACCAAUAAUAAGAUUAAAAAUCUAUAAUGUUCAAAUGCAUAAUGUUUUUCACAGAUUGUCUUCUACGAGGAGCGUAACUUCCAGGGCCGCUCUUAUGAGUGCAACUCUGAGUGUCCAGAUAUGUCCUCAUAUUUUCAUCACUGUAAUUCCAUCCGGGUGGAAAGUGGAAACUGGAUCCUGUAUGAGCACCCCAACUAUAGAGGACACCAGUAUUACCUUAGCAGGGGAGAAUAUCCUAAUUUCCAGCAAUGGAUGGGUUUUAACGACUCCAUCAGAUCUUGUCAUAUUAGUCCACAGGUAAAUAUAUUUUUACCUGAGCAGUUAAAAAUGUUACAAAAUGUUAAAGAUGCAGUGUAAAAACAUUAUUGAAGUGUAUCAAUUAUUUUAUGGAAUAUUUCUUCAACUCACAAUUCACUUAUCUGGAAACAGGUAGGUUAAUUUCAAUAAAAACUAUAGUCUUAGUAUAGAUGUUUAAUUUUUACAUGAAAUUAUGCAAAAGUUAUAAUGUGAUUUAUGAAUUACAUAUCAUUUUUUUAAUCCUCUUAAAGCACCAUGGUUCAUUCAGAGUAAAGGUCUACGAGAGGGAGGAUUUCCGAGGUCAGAUGAUGGAGUUCACUGAAGAUUGCCCUAACGUCUAUGAGAGAUUCCGUCACCAUGACAUCCACUCCUGCCAUGUGUUUGAUGGUCACUGGAUGUUCUAUGAGGAACCAAAUUACAGGGGCCGCCAGUAUUACCUGAGACCUGGAGAGUACAGAAGAUAUACCGACUGGAGUGCCAUGAGCCCAAGAAUUGGCUCAUUCAGAAGACUUCACCAUUUCUAAUAAAUUGUAUUAAUUUAUAAAUCAGAAUGUAGUUUAGAAUAAAAUAAAAGCUUCAAAAAAUUAUAAA